rnacentral:misc_RNA from 1 species
AAGUCGUAACAAGGUUUCCGUAGGUGAACCUGCGGAAGGAUCAUUAACAAAUGUUUCCACACCACUCCACAUCUUGUGAACUGUUAUCAAAUCCCCUGGCGAGUUUGUCUGCCCUGGGUGCUUGUUGGCGGGAUUCCCGCUGGCAUGUACCUGGUGUAGGCGUCUCGUCAUGUUUAUUUACCCAGAUUAUAAUUGACUGAGACUUUAUUGAAAAAUAAAGACAACUUUUAGCAACGGAUCUCUUGGCUCUC